rnacentral:rRNA from 1 species
CUAGCUGUAAACGAUGGAUACUAGGCGUUGAGAGUAUCGACCCUCUCAGUGUCGUAGCUAACGCGUUAAGUAUCCCGCCUGGGGAGUACGCGCGCAAGCGUGAAACUCAAAGGAAUUGACGGGGGCCCGCACAAGCGGUGGAGUAUGUGGUUUAAUUCGAUGCAACGCGAAGAACCUUACCAGGGCUUGACGUGUCCGGAACCCUGCCCAAAGGCGGGGGUGCCUACGGGAACCGGAACACAGGUGGUGC